AACGCACAUUGCGCCCUUUGGUAUUCCGAAGGGCAUGCCUGUUCGAGCGUCAUUAUCACCCCUCAAGCCUGGCUUGCUGUUGGGCUCUUGGUCGUGGAUCCCCACGACCGGCCCCAAAGAUAAUGACGGCGUCCGUCGGACCCUCGGUACAAGGAGCUUUUUACGAGGCACGUACUGAAGUGGGCUGGCAGACCCGGUCUUUUUAAUUAGUUUUUUCUAAGGUUGACCUCGGAUCAGGUAGGAAUACCCGCUGAACUUAA
rnacentral:misc_RNA from 1 species